rnacentral:rRNA from 1 species
CGCGCAGGCGGUCCUUUAAGUCUGAUGUGAAAUCACGUGGCUCAACCACGUGCGGUCAUUGGAAACUGGAGGACUUGAGUGCAGAAGAGGAAAGUGGAAUUCCAAGUGUAGCGGUGAAAUGCGUAGAGAUUUGGAGGAACACCAGUGGCGAAGGCGACUUUCUGGUCUGUAACUGACGCUGAGGCGCGAAAGCGUGGGGAGCAAACAGGAUUAGAUACCCUGGUAGUCCACGCCGUAAACGAUGAGUGCUAAGUGUUAGGGGGUUUCCGCCCCUUAGUGCUGCAGCUAACGCAUUAAGCACUCCGCCUGGGGAGUACGGUCGCAAGACUGAA